UCACAUUUGGCUCAGUAACAUUCACUUAUACAGCCGGAAAGAAUAAUUACUCAGUUGCAGGAAUACGAGGUGCCAUAUUUCUUUGGAGUGAAGUGGAGCAUUCCCUGAUUCACUGGAUGAAUUCAGGUAUAAUCAGGACACCUGCAAAGAAAGUAGAAAGGAAGAUAAUUAUUUAAAGAUGUGUUCAGAUUUGACUUACAAAAGAGCUGCAUUCUGAAGAGCUAUUCAUCAGAAGAGUUC
rnacentral:lncRNA from 1 species